GGCUCUAUGGCUCAGUUGGUUAAAGCGCCUGUCUCGUAAACAGGAGAUCCUGGGUUCGACUCCCAGUAGAGCCU
rfam:Erinaceus europaeus unplaced genomic scaffold scaffold00932, whole genome shotgun sequence